rnacentral:rRNA from 1 species
AUGCACGCUGGCGGCGUGCCUAAUCCAUGCAAGUCGCGCGAACAGACGAGGAGCUUGCUCCUCUGACGUUAGCGGCGGACGGGUGAGUAACACGUGGAUAACCUACCUAUAAGACUGGGAUAACUUCGGGAAACCGGAGCUAAUACCGGAUAAUAUAUUGAACCGCAUGGUUCAAUAGUGAAAGACGGUUUUGCUGUCACUUAUAGAUGGAUCCGCGCCGCAUUAGCUAGUUGGUAAGGUAACGGCUUACCAAGGCAACGAUGCGUAGCCGACCUGAGAGGGUGAUCGGCCACACUGGAACUGAGGCACGGUCCAGACUCCUACGGGAGGCAGCAGUAGGGAAUCUUCCGCAAUGGGCGAAAGCCUGACGGAGCAACGCCGCGUGAGUGAUGAAGGUCUUCGGAUCGUAAAACUCUGUUAUUAGGGAAGAACAAAUGUGUAAGUAACUAUGCACGUCUUGACGGUACCUAAUCAGAAAGCCACGGCUAACUACGUG